AUGGUCCAUCAGUUUUGUCAGUUGCUCUGGCACCUUACAGACUGUUAUAACUCUCAUCCCAACACGGCAUCGGGCAGAGAGAAUGAACAACAUCACCAUCGCCACCAUGAAGCCUGCCCCACGAACCAGAAACCAAGUCAUCCCUGUCCUCACUUCUCACCUCCCAGUGCCUUCCAGAUGAUCAACGUAGGCCAUCAAAUUGAAAGCUCUUGCUUCAACUGUGGUUCAGCUCUGAACAUGCACCUUGUUACACUUGGAUUCAGGGCAUCUGGACAAUGCAUGUGCACAGGCAUGAGCUCACAGUGUGUAUGCACAAACUUUCAGAGCUGCCUCCCUUUGCUAUCCACAAUCCACAUCCAGAGCCCUGCUGUCACCUGCAAGUCCCUGCCUGGUCUGGCUCUUGCCUGCUUUUCCAGACUCCUGCACCAUCAUCCCCUCUUCCAGCAUUCACUUAACUUCAGGCACAUCAGCGUUUUUCACCAACUGAAUUGUUCUGCACAUACUCCUACCUGGGUGUUGGGAGCCGCCCUCACAUUUGCCAUUAUAAGAUGGCGCUGA
rnacentral:lncRNA from 1 species